rnacentral:rRNA from 1 species
UGGGGAAUAUUGGACAAUGGGCGCAAGCCUGAUCCAGCAAUGCCGCGUGCAGGAUGAAGGCCUUCGGGUUGUAAACUGCUUUUGUACGGAACGAAAAGCCUCUCUCUAAUACAGGGGGGUGAUGACGGUACCGUAAGAAUAAGCACCGGCUAACUACGUGCCAGCAGCCGCGGUAAUACGUAGGGUGCAAGCGUUAAUCGGAAUUACUGGGCGUAAAGCGUGCGCAGGCGGUUUUGUAAGACAGUGGUGAAAUCCCCGGGCUCAACCUGGGAACUGCCAUUGUGACUGCAAGGCUGGAGUGCGGCAGAGGGGGAUGGAAUUCCGCGUGUAGCAGUGAAAUGCGUAGAUAUGCGGAGGAACACCGAUGGCGAAGGCAAUCCCCUGGGCCUGCACUGACGCUCAUGCACGAAAGCGUGGGGAGCAAAACAGGAUUAGAUACCCUGGUAGUCCACGCCCUAAACGAUGUCAACUGGUUGUUGGGGAUUUAUUUCUUCAGUAACGAAGCUAACGCGUGAAGUUGACCGCCUGGGGGAGUACGGCCGCAAGGUUAAAACUUAAAUGAAUUGACGGGGUC